rnacentral:ncRNA from 1 species
GAAAGGACAAUGAUCAGAAUAGUAGGUGAAUCGAUUUGUUUUAGAGAGUUUCCGUUUGCUGCAAGGAAAUAACGAAUCAUCAUCGAACACGCCUGUAAGUUGUUUUUCUGAAAUAAGAAGUUUAGUUUAGCGAAGUUUGAUUCGUUUUCUAGAUGAGUAGGAAAAAUCGGUGAGUCCGUUAUCACUCCUUAGUUUAUCGAACUAACAGAGGUUUUUACUGUGAAGUAAAAACAAAUCUGAGGUGGGACCACGUGAAAAAUUUCUCGUCCUCUUG